rnacentral:rRNA from 1 species
AUGAACGCUAGCUACAGGCUUAACACAUGCAAGUCGAGGGGCAUCAGGAAGAAAGCUUGCUUUCUUUGCUGGCGACCGGCGCACGGGUGAGUAACACGUAUCCAACCUGCCCUUUACUCGGGGAUAGCCUUUCGAAAGAAAGAUUAAUACCCGAUGGGAUAAUNAUUCCGCAUGGUUUCAUUAUUAAAGGAUUCCGGUAAAGGAUGGGGAUGCGUUCCAUUAGGUUGUUGGUGAGGUAACGGCUCACCAAGCCUUCGAUGGAUAGGGGUUCUGAGAGGAAGGUCCCCCACAUUGGAACUGAGACACGGUCCAAACUCCUACGGGAGGCAGCAGUGAGGAAUAUUGGUCAAUGGGCGCGAGCCUGAACCAGCCAAGUAGCGUGAAGGAUGACUGCCCUAUGGGUUGUAAACUUCUUUUAUAUUAGAAUAAAGUGCAGUAUGUAUACUGUUUUGUAUGUAUAAUAUGAAUAAGGAUCGGCUAACUCCGUGCCAGCAGCCGCGGUAAUACGGAGGAUCCGAGCGUUAUCCGGAUUUAUUGGGUUUAAAGGGAGCGUAGGUGGACUGGUAAGUCAGUUGUGAAAGUUUGCGGCUCAACCGUAAAAUUGCAGUUGAUACUGUCAGUCUUGAGUACAGUAGAGGUGGGCGGAAUUCGUGGUGUAGCGGUGAAAUGCUUAGAUAUCACGAAGAACUCCGAUUGCGAAGGCAGCUCACUGGACUGCAACUGACACUGAUGCUCGAAAGUGUGGGUAUCAAACAGGAUUAGAUACCCUGGUAGUCCACACAGUAAACGAUGAAUACUCGCUGUUUGCGAUAUACAGUAAGCGGCCAAGCGAAAGCAUUAAGUAUUCCACCUGGGGAGUACGCCGGCAACGGUGAAACUCAAAGGAAUUGACGGGGGCCCGCACAAGCGGAGGAACAUGUGGUUUAAUUCGAUGAUACGCGAGGAACCUUACCCGGGCUUAAAUUGCAGUGGAAUGAUGUGGAAACAUGUCAGUGAGCAAUCACCGCUGUGAAGGUGCUGCAUGGUUGUCGUCAGCUCGUGCCGUGAGGUGUCGGCUUAAGUGCCAUAACGAGCGCAACCCUUAUCUUCAGUUACUAACAGGUCAUGCUGAGGACUCUGGAGAGACUGCCGUCGUAAGAUGUGAGGAAGGUGGGGAUGACGUCAAAUCAGCACGGCCCUUACGUCCGGGGCUACACACGUGUUACAAUGGGGGGUACAGAAGGCAGCUACCUGGUGACAGGAUGCUAAUCCCAAAAGCCUCUCUCAGUUCGGAUCGAAGUCUGCAACCCGACUUCGUGAAGCUGGAUUCGCUAGUAAUCGCGCAUCAGCCACGGCGCGGUGAAUACGUUCCCGGGCCUUGUACACACCGCCCGUCAAGCCAUGGGAGCCGGGGGUACCUGAAGUACGUAACCGCAAGGAGCGUCCUAGGGUAAAAC